rnacentral:rRNA from 1 species
GAUGAACGCUAGCUACAGGCUUAACACAUGCAAGUCGAGGGGAAACGGCAUCGAAAGCUUGCUUUUGAUGGGCGUCGACCGGCGCACGGGUGAGUAACGCGUAUCCAACCUGCCCAUCACUUGGGAAUAACCUUGCGAAAGUAAGACUAAUGCCCAAUGACAUCCCACGAAGGCAUCCGAAUGGGAUUAAAGAUUUAUCGGUGAUGGAUGGGGAUGCGUCUGAUUAGCUUGUUGGCGGGGUGACGGCCCACCAAGGCAACGAUCAGUAGGGGUUCUGAGAGGAAGGUCCCCCACAUUGGAACUGAGACACGGUCCAAACUCCUACGGGAGGCAGCAGUGGGGAAUAUUGGUCAAUGGGCGAGAGCCUGAACCAACCAAGUAGCGUGCAGGAUGACGGCCCUAUGGGUUGUAAACUGCUUUUAUAAGGGAAUAAAGUGGGUCACGUGUGACUUUUUGCAUGUACCUUAUGAAUAAGGACCGGCUAAUUCCGUG